ACUGUAUUCUCUCCUUGCUUUUUCUCAAUGUGUUACAUGAAAACAGUUUGAUAUGUGAAAAACGUUUGAUCAGCAUGAUCUGUUAUGAGGAUAGUUUUGAAGGCAAUACUUUAAUGACUGAAAUAUGAGAUUGUAUUUGAUCUGUUGCUAAUGUCAGUGUUUUUUCCAUCAGCCGCUGCUGGAGAUACAGAGCUCAUAUACGCUGAUAUCUCUCAUGAGAAAAAGAGUGAAAAGAAGAAUACAGAAUAUUUCCCUGAUGCUGAUGUGGAAUACGCAGCGGUCCAACUGCAGACAAAGAGAAGGGAAGAGGAGGAGGAAAAGAAGGAGAAGGAGGAGGAAGAGGAGGAGGAGGAGGAGAAGGAGGAGGUGGAAGAUGAGGAGGAGGAAGAGAAGGAGAAGAAAAAGGAGGAGGUGGAAGAGGAGGAAGAGGAGAAGGUGGAAGAGAAGGAGAAGGAAGAGGAGAAGGUGAAAGAGAAGGAGGAGGAAGAGGAGAAGGUGGGACAGAAGGAGAAGGAAGAGGAGAAGGUGAAAGAGAAGGAGGAGGAAGAGGAGAAGGUGGGACAGAAGGAGGAGGAGGAGGAGAAGGUGGAGGAGGAGGAGGAGGAGGAGGAGGAGGUGGAGGAGGAGGAGGAAGAGGAGGAGGAGGAAGAGGAGAAGGUGGGACAGAAGGAGGAGGAGGAGGAGAAGGUGGAGGAGGAGGAGGAGGAGGAGGAGGAGGUGGAGGAGGAGGAGGAAGAGGAGGAGGAGGAAGAGGAGGAGGUGGGACAGAAGGUGGAGGAAGAUGAGGAGGUGGAAGAGGAGGAGGAGGUUCAGUAUGGUGAGGUGACGUUCACACUGAACCACUCAAACAAUCCUCAGGAGCUUCAGGAGUAGUGUGUUUUCUAGGGGUGUAACAGUUCACGGUAAAAAAACAAAAACAACAAAAAAAAACACGUACGGUUCGGGAGGUACUCAUACCACAGUUCAACUUUAAUCUGACAAGGCAUCUGUAAUAGGGUUUGGUAAAAAAAAAAAAAAUAUGGCUAAUGUUUCUGUCAGUGGAUACACAUUCUGGCUUCCCAAUACAUUACAACAUCAGCAAUGAACAAAAAAAAAAGAAAGAAAGAGAAAAAAAAACUCUUUGCAUUUGUAAAUAUUUUGUCUGAUAUGUGCUGUAUGUUGAUAUGGAUUGUUUAGAGUGAACUUUAACAUACAUGUCUGGGGUGAAGCAUGAGAUGUAGAGUAAGCAAGACUAUGAAAGGGAAACCAAUCGCGUGUUAUUUGUUCAUCAAACUACUCAGCACUUCUGUUUUUAGCGCUUCUUGAUUUGCGGCUGCGACUGUAUGAUGGCAAAAAAAAGCUUAAAUGAAAGUCAGCUUUUAAUCAUGAAUCUCGAGGUGAUCGAUGUGCACAAGUGCUCAAAAGUCAUGAAAACACAGCAAUUGGUGAUUUUGAAUUAAAACAUUUAAAAGCACUUAAAAUCUUAAAGUCCCUGAAAAUCUGAGAUUUGCUAGACUGAGUUCUAGAAUUUAUACUAGUUAGUGAAGAGAGUUUAACAGUGAUAUGAGAGAGUUUUAGGGGUUAAAACAGUUUGCAUCUGCAGAUCCCCAAGUACAGGAACGACCUGAAAAAGGCCUAAUGAUGUCUAAAAUUGCUUAAAGUCCUGUAGUGUAAAUUAAUAGUAAACUGUAUUUCUACCAGCUAAACUAGUACAGUGUUCAAUUCCCAGAUCAAAUAUUUAUUGCUUGAAUUCACAGUAAAAAGUUUCAAAAAGCAUCUGCUAAAAGCAGAAAUAGCAAUGCACUCAACUCAAAUGAAUCGUUGCUUUCAGUGAAAAUUGGUGUUGAUUACAAUUCUAUUUUAUUUUCAUUUAGAAAUAAUUAAUUUAUAAUAU
ensembl:lncRNA